UAAUAGCCUCUUAGCGUCCCAUUAAAUGCAUACCCUUUUUGCUUCAAAAAAUAUUUCCACUGGGACUUGAAAUUAAGCCUCGGUUUUUCUCCAUUUUUCUCCCCAGUCUCUGCAUACAGGAAGCGCCCGGCUUUCCUGCUCGGUGAUGUUUGUUAGUGAACCGGGGCCAGAGUCCAGACCAUGUUGCAUCGGCUCGAAGAAUUCAAUAACUUUUCAUCCCCUCAUUCGCGUUUGUCCUUGUGUACAGACCUGUGCAUUUUUACCCCGUGCAGAGAUUCACGUAACUUCUGCCAAAAUCAAUAUUCCGUCAAUACGAAGGACAGCCCAGUGUAUCCUCUUACAUGCACCCCCCCACCCCUGUGCCCUGGCAACCAGCGAUCUGUUCUUUGUCUUUGCACUUGUGUCCUUUUGACGAUGUUGUCUGAGUGGAACCUGCCGUCUGUGACCUACAGAGACGGGCUUUCCCACCAAACCCUGGAGACGUGUCCCGGCCGUUGUGCAAGCAGGGAUAAAACUGCUAUGGACAUUUGUGUACGUGUGCAGGUGAACGCCGGCGACGGUGUGCUUUGGGCUCCACGACACUUUGCACAUGGCAUUUGGGGCUUGGACUAAGGAUCCUUGAGUCCUGCCUGCCAUUCCUCUCAACCCGUUUUUCUCGCAAUGUGUGGUCCUCCCAUCCCUGGCCCCAUGGCUCCCCGUGUUGUUCUCCUGGAUGGAUCGAUCCUUAGAACACCUGUGUGUGACUUUCAAGAAGGACCAGAGCAUAGCCUUGCGCCGUGGGCUCCAGAAGUUUAUUCCGUCCCAUUCUGCGUGAUUCCUGACUGGACAUCUGGUAUCUAGCGACCCUCUCCCCUGUGCUGAGUGAGCAAGGCUGUGGUAGAGUAUGCCUUUCUGAAAUACGUGCACAGAAGAAGCAUUGAUCUUCUAAUGUGGUUGGAUCCACAACAGAAAUUGUGUGAUUCCUUGGAGGAAGGGUCUAGUGCCAUUUGUGAAAGGCCUGAUUCCUGAGGUCACGCGGGAAAGCAGCUCCGUCGCUCAGAAGCGUGACCCUUAUUGA